rnacentral:sRNA from 1 species
CCAUAACCCGCGCGGCAGGGAUCGAGCGGAAAUCCCUCCCCGAAUGGUUUUACGUUCGUCCAUUCAGUAGAAAGCAUUGGGGAGGAUUGGAGGGAGAGCCCGACCCGGG